ACGGUGGGUGGCGCACUUCCUGAUUAACGGGCAGUGUCACUCGUCUGCGAAAUGCAAACAGAUACCCAGCCCGCGCCGAAGCGGGCUUUUUUUU
rnacentral:sRNA from 1 species